GACGAACGCUGGCGGCGUGCCUAACACAUGCAAGUUGAGCGACGAACCAGGGCUUGCCCUGGGGCAAAGCAGCGAACGGGUGAGUAACACGUGGGUAACCUACCCCGAUAACCGGGACAACCCGAGGAAACUCGGGCUAAUACCGGAUGUGCUCACUGGACUUCGGUUCAGUGCGUAAAGGAAGCUUCGGCCUCCGUAUCGGGAGGGGCCCGCGGCCCAUUAGUUUGUUGGUGAGGUAACGGCUCACCAAGACCGCGAUGGGUAGCUGGUCUGAGAGGACGAUCAGCCACACUGGGACUGAGAAACGGCCCAGACUCCUACGGGAGGAAGCAGUGGGGAAUCUUGCGCAAUGCGCGAAAGCGUGACGCAGCAACGCCGCGUGGGGGAAGAAGGCCUUCGGGUUGUAAACCCCUUUCAGGAGGGACGAAGGUUCGGCGGUGAAUAGCCGUCCGGACUGACGGUACCUCCACAAGAAGCCCCGGCUAACUACGUG
rnacentral:rRNA from 1 species